AAUGCCGCGUGUGUGAAGAAGGCCUGCGGGUUGUAAAGCACUUUUAUUAGGGAAGAAACAGCCUGGCCUAAUACGCCAUGGCAAUUGACGGUACCUAAGGAAUAAGCACCGGCUAACUCCGUGCCAGCAACUUCGGUGACUGAGCGGGCUGGCAAGGCGCAUA
rnacentral:rRNA from 1 species